rnacentral:rRNA from 1 species
UUAGGAAUCUUCCACGAUGGGCGAAAGCCUGAUGGAGCGACGCCGCGUGAGGGAUGAAGGCCUUAGGGUUGUAAACCUCUAAAAGAGGGACGAUAAUGACGGUACCUCUUGAAUAGCACCGGCUAACUCCGUGCCAGCAGCCGCGGUAAUACGGAGGGUGCAAGCGUUAUCCGGAAUCACUGGGCGUAAAGGGCGCGUAGGCGGUCUGUUAAGUCCGAUGUUAAAUCCCGGGGCUCAACCCCGGAUAAGCGUUGGAUACUGGCAGGCUAGACGGUUGGAGAGGCGAGUGGAAUUACCAGUGUAGCGGUGGAAUGCGUAGAUACUGGUAGGAACACCCAUUGCGAAGGCAGCUCGCUGGACAACACGUGACGCUGAGGCGCGAAAGUGUGGGGAGCAAACC